rnacentral:tRNA from 1 species
GCCUUCGUGGUGUAGUGGUCAGCGCGCUCGGCACGCAUCCGAGAGGGCCAUGGUUCGAGUCCCGGCGAGGGAA